AUUGAACGCUGGCGGCAUGCUUUACACAUGCAAGUCGAACGGCAGCGCGGGCUUCGGCCUGGCGGCGAGUGGCGAACGGGUGAGUAAUGCAUCGGAACGUGCCCAGUAGUGGGGGAUAGCCCGGCGAAAGCCGGAUUAAUACCGCAUACGACCUGAGGGUGAAAGCGGGGGACCGAAAGGCCUCGCGCUAUUGGAGCGGCCGAUGUCGGAUUAGCUAGUUGGUGGGGUAAAGGCUUACCAAGGCGACGAUCCGUAGCUGGUCUGAGAGGACGACCAGCCACACUGGGACUGAGACACGGCCCAGACUCCUACGGGAGGCAGCAGUGGGGAAUUUUGGACAAUGGGGGCAACCCUGAUCCAGCCAUGCCGCGUGCGGGAAGAAGGCCUUCGGGUUGUAAACCGCUUUUGUUCGGGAAGAAAUCCUCUUGGCUAAUACCCCGGGGGGAUGACGGUACCGGAAGAAUAAGCACCGGCUAACUACGUG
rnacentral:rRNA from 1 species